GUAUUUUGACUAUACGAAGGUAUUGAAAUAAGGCUUUAAAUGAGUGCUAAGAGAAUGGUUGAACAAUUAUAGGCUUUCUUUAAUUAAUAAAUUGAAGUUAAUUUUUUUGUGAAGAAGCAAAAAUGAAAAUUAGGGACAAGAAGACCCUAUGAAUUUUAAAAUUAAAAAUAGGUGAUUGAUAAAUAACUUUUUAAUUUUAAUUGGGGUGAUGAGGAAAGAAUAGUUAUCUUUUUUUUUAUGAGUUAAUUUGACCCAUUAAUAAUGAUUGAAUGAUUAAAAUACUCUAGGGAUAACAGCGUAAUAAUUUUGGAUAGUUCAUAUAGAUAAAAUAGUUUGCGACCUCGAUGUUGGAUUAGGAUACUUUAUUGGUGGAGA
rnacentral:rRNA from 1 species